ACUGCUGUUUUGACAAGCAGUCCAUACAAAUUUGAUUUGGAAGAAAAGCAAAUUACAAAGACAAUAAAAAUGUUAUAAAAAGAAAACCAAAAGUUAUUAACAGAAAUCAAAAGAACAAAAGAAAAAAAAAAUACGAAAGGCAAAAAAAGACUACGUCCUGCCAAAGAAACUGAUAAAAAAAAAAUAAAGAAAAAAAAAAGCAAUAUUAUGUGUUGGAGGAUUGAACAAUAAAUAUAACUAAUCUUUACUACUUUACAAAUAGAUAAAAUACCUUGAACUAAAUCCAAUUAGACCAAUUUUAUGUUUGAACUGUUCUCCAACAAACUUUCCUUUAUUCCAUCUCUUGUAUAUAAAAUUUUUGUGGCUGGAUGUAAAAAACAAUAUAUUUUUACCGAAGUUGAUAACAUAAGUGUUUGUUUAAUUUUUGUGAAGCUACAUUCCUUUAGUUUUUUAAUUUCAUUCAAAUCACGAAUAUUUAUUUCAAAAAGCAUUAGUAUUAAGAGAGUUAACAGCACUGACCACAAGGGUUAACAACUCCAAUGGUUUUAAAAGUUUAACUUAUUGAGAAAUCAAGGCUUGUUCUUAAUCAAAAAAUUUUUUUUCAAUCAUGUUUGAACUAUCAUAAAGUUGGAAACUGCUAUUCUAAAUUGUCAAUAUCUUUCACUUUAGCAAGAAAUCGAAGUUUGUUGUACAAUUUUAUAUCUGCUUGAGAAUGAUAUUCCUCUAAAACUAAAGCUGACUUGAACUUCAACAUAAGGUAACGGUAGCAGAACUGUAAAAAACUAAACAAAAAGAUUGCAACUCACACCAUUUUUUGAUGAACUAGCAACAGAGUUAUUGCACCAUUUAUGUAAAAAUUGAUUUUUUUUUUAUAAUUCAACACCCGGUUUGUCUGUUAAUUUUUUGUAAAGCAAGAAAAAAUCAAUGUGGGAAUCUUAACCUUGUCAAUUUUUGAUAAAUGUCCUCAGCUAAA